rnacentral:rRNA from 1 species
GACGAACGCUGGCGGCGUGCUUAACACAUGCAGUCGCACGGAAAGGCCCUGCUUUUGUGGGGUGCUCGAGUGGCGAACGGGUGAGUAACACGUGAGUAACCUGCCCUUGACUUUGGGAUAACUUCAGGAAACUGGGGCUAAUACCGGAUAGGAGCUCCUGCUGCAUGGUGGGGGUUGGAAAGUUUCGGCGGUUGGGGAUGGACUCGCGGCUUAUCAGCUUGUUGGUGGGGUAGUGGCUUACCAAGGCUUUGACGGGUAGCCGGCCUGAGAGGGUGACCGGCCACAUUGGGACUGAGAUACGGCCCAGACUCCUACGGGAGGCAGCAGUGGGGAAUAUUGCACAAUGGGCGGAAGCCUGAUGCAGCAACGCCGCGUGCGGGAUGACGGCCUUCGGGUUGUAAACCGCUUUCGCCUGUGACGAAGCGUGAGUGACGGUAAUGGGUAAAGAAGCACCGGCUAACUACGUG